UGAAUUUAUUAUCUUUACUUUAAUUUGAAUUUCGCUGUAGAUAUUACAAACCAAUAUUGACUCAUUCUUACAUAAUGUCACUGUGGUUUUCACAUAUACCUGUAUAUCACUUCCUUCCUGUGAUAUAGAACCACUUUAAUUCUUGUACACAUAGUUUUAGGAUUAGUACAUGUAGUAUUUUCUGACUUAUAGUUUCCCUAAUAUUAGCUGCUGUUAGUAUUAAACUUUAGCAUACCUUUAUCAACAAUGUUUAGUAUGUGGAUUUUUGGUUUUACACUUGUAAGUUUACGAUAUAGUGUAUUGACAUACAAUUUGGAUGUUAAUAAUGCUAAAGUGUUUAAUAGUCCUACAAUUUUGAUUGAUAAACGAAGCAGUUAUUUUGGAUUCUCUGUUGCACUUUAUGCAAAUAAAAAAGACUCUCUGCUGUUGGUUGGUGCUCCUAGAGCAAAUACAACUACAAUAAAGGGUGUAAUUGAACCAGGGGUUGUAUAUCAAUGUCCAAUUAAUGAUACGUGUAAAGAGUGGACUUUCGAUAAAACUGGAAAUGGUCGACACGAACGGUAUCCCGAUAUAUAUCAGAAUAAAAAUAAUGGAUGGAUCGGUGCAGCAAUUGCUGUAGAAAAUAGAACUGAUCCUAGAAUUGUGGUUUGUAGUCCACGAUAUAGAAAUAAAAUGUUUAUGAAUGGUAUCUGUUACUGGAUAGCAGUUAAAAACAUUGAGUCUAAAAAAUUGAUUGGAACAAUAGAUUUCAAGUUGGAAAGGGCAGGACAGGCUGGUUUUUCAUUACACAUUACAUCCAAUGAAUCACAACAGGCUCUAUUAGGUAGUCCAGGUAUACUAUUAGGGAGAGGUAUACCCAUGUUAGUUGUAAAAUCACUUGACAAUAAAAUGCAAACACUAAUUCCUGCAAUUGAAAACGGAAUAGUUACGCAUGAUUCGUAUUUUGGUUACUCUGUAACAUCUGGCUGUUAUUUUAAACAAGGAGAAUUGUGGUUUGCCUCUGGUGCUCCAAGAGCUGCAGAUAUGCAUGGAAAUGUUAUUAUAUUUAGAUUUCCUAAUGAAAGUAAACAACCUUUACUAGUGAAAAAGAAGGUAGCUGGUGAGCAAUAUGGUGAAUACUUUGGAGCUGCUUUAUCAUCAUGUGAUCUUAAUGGUGAUGGUAAAGAUGAAUUAAUCAUUGGUGCCCCGCAAUGGGCAAAAGACGUAAACGAGGGUCGAAUAUAUGUUUUUACCACUUCUUAUAAUGAAAUUUUUGUAAAACAAUUAUUUGAUGGAGAAGUACCUGAAAGUCGAUUUGGUUCUGUGAUAACUUGUCUAGGAGAUAUUGAUUAUGAUGGUUACGCUGAUAUUGCUGUUGGUGCACCAUACGAGAAGCAAUUUGGUGCAAUAUACAUUUUUAAUGGCAAUAGUAAUGGAUUACCUAAAUUUUAUAGUCAAAAGAUAAUUGGCAGACAAUUUGGGGAAAACGUUCGGGGAUUUGGAAUUUCAAUUUCAGAACCUCGUGACAUAAAUGGUGAUAAAUAUUCUGAUAUUGCUGUGGGAGCUUAUCUCUCAGAUCAGGCAAUUUUAAUUAAGUCUAAAUCAGUUGUUAAAAUAACAACAAAUUUAAAGUAUUCAGAGAAAGAAAAAUUACUAAGCAAUUCUACAUUUUUUAUUAUCAAUGUGUGUACAUGUUAUGAUACAAUAAAUGAGCCUAAAUAUCUCCGAAUUGUUAAAUUUUUAAAAAUUGAUCAAAUGUAUGGAAGAGCUUUGUACCAUGAUGUAGGAGGUAAUAAUGGUAGUGUGUACAAAUUUUAUGAUAUGUUACACAAAUCUAAAACUUUAUGCAGUCCAAUUAAGCUACAUUUAGAGAAAAAUAUUAAAAAUGUAAUAGAUCCACUUGAAAUAUCUGUAUCAGUUACUUUAGAGGAAGAUUCACAAUCUAAAAAUAAAGAGACUAAUUCGCAUGUUCCCUGUACAUCUUGUCCAGUUAUAAAUAAAUAUCUGUCUAAAACUGAAGAUUUUAUCAAAUUGCCAUUUACGUUAGAUUGUGGGGAAAAUGAUAUUUGUAUAUCAGAUAUUAGAGUAGAACUUUCAACGAACUUAGAGUUUGAUAACAAAUUUAUCAUUGGAUCUACAACCACUGUCAAAUUUAUGAUAAAUGUUUCUAAUUAUGGUGAACCAGCAUAUCAAUCUAAAAUAUUUGUAUAUAUUCCGGAAAUAUUAUCGCUAGCAAGUGUACCUCUUUCAUGUAUGGAAAGUUCAUACCUGCAUAAUACUUUAGAAGUAAUUUGUGAUAUUGGAAAUCCACUUAGACAAAAUAAAACAUUAACUUUGGAGUUGGAUAUGAGCAAAGUUCAGUUUGGUAUCGAUCAUGUAGAACUAUGGACGAAUUUUACAACUCAAAGCAAACGAAAGGACUCACGCAACACGGGUACUUUGUUGACUAUCUAUUUCGAUGUUGAUGUCGACGUAGUGGUAGCAGGGAAAGUAAACGGUGACUCAUACUCGUAUUUUUAUAAAAACGAAAAAGAGCAACUCACUAAUCUCCAAUUCGAGCAUAUUUAUGAAGUUCAAAAAUUCGGUGUUAGUCCAAUUGACAAAGUUAUACUAGCAAUUAGUAUGCCAACUUAUUGGAAAGAUUCUAGUGGAGAUAUACCAAUUAUUAAUAUCAAUAAAACAAUUGGUCAAAUGAAUGGACAACAAUUUAAUUGCAUGCACUCAAACUAUACACCUUCCACGUCUUUAAUUGAUAGACCUAAAAUUCCUCCUAUAAAUUUUGAUUUAGAUACACAAGAAAAAUUUACAUUGGCAACUAAUUUUUCAAUUAAUUUGCCCCCUGAGAAUAGAUCAGUGUACAUUAAUUGCACGAACACUAAUGUACAUUGUACAUAUAUUCAGUGCAACUUGGGUCCUUUUACAGAUUUUUCAUCUGUUGCUAAACUUUCACUGGUACUGGACCUUUAUCUCAUAAAUUUGAAAUCAAAUAUGAUAGAAGAAAAAGAUAUCAUACUUUUCGUGUCUAAUGGAAGUGUUAGCAUUAUGCAACCAUAUAAUAUCCAUCAAAAAUUUGGACACAAACCUGAUAGCACCAUUGUAACCACAAUGUUUUUAGGGUCACCAAUAACUAAGCCAGUUGCUACUUGGAUAAUAGCUUUAUCAAUUAUUAUAGGAAUUGUGUUGCUCAUAUUUUUAAUUUUUUGACUGAUUACAAUUGGAUUUUUUAAUAGAACAAAGAAGGAGGAACUUGAAGCAUUAAAAUCUAAAACAGAUGAAGAACAUAAUGUUAUCCUGGAAACAAGUUCAUGUAGGAAAGUGCUUGACGAAGAGUAGGUUUACUAAUAGAGACAAAUAUUCAAAUUUAUAUAUAUAUAUUUCUUAUUUCUUAUGCAUUAAGUA